UGAACUUAAGCAUAUCAAUAAGCGGAGGAAAGAAACUAACAAGGAUUCCCCUAGUAACGGCGAGUGAAGAGGAAGAGCUCAAAUUUUGAAUCUGGCGUCUUUGGCGUCCGAAUUGUAAUCUAGAGAAGUGUUUUCCGUGACGGACCGUGCAUAAGUCUCCUGGAAUGGAGCGUCAUGGAGGGUGAGAAUCCCGUAUAUGGCACGGACUCCCGUUGCUCUGUGAUACACUCUCGACGAGUCGAGUUGUUUGGGAAUGCAGCUCUAAACGGGUGGUAAAUGCCAUCUAAAGCUAAAUAUUGGCGAGAGACCGAUAGCGAACAAGUACCGUGAGGGAAAGAUGAAAAGCACUUUGGAAAGAGAGUGAAACAGUACGUGAAAUUGUUGAAAGGGAAACGCUUGAAGUCAGUCGCGCCGUUCGGGAUUCAGCCUUGCUUCUGCUCGGUUUACUUCCCGUUGGGUGGGUCAACAUCAGUUUCGGUCGGAGGAGAAAGACUUGGGGAAGGUGGCAGCAUUCGUGCUGUGUUAUAGCCCCUUGUUGUAUACUUCGACUGGGACUGAGGAUCGCAGCACGCCUUUGGCCGGGGUUCGCCCACGUACGUGCUUAGGAUGUUGGCAUAAUGGCUUUAAGCGACCCGUCUUGAAACACGGACCAAGGAGUCUAACAUGUGUGCGAGUGUUUGGGUGUCAAACUCGGAUGCGAAAUGAAAGUGAAAAGUUGGGAACACUUAUGUGUGCACCGACGCCCGGAGCUGACCUUCUGUGACGCAUCUGCGGUAGAGCAUAUAUGUUGGGACCCGAAAGAUGGUGAACUAUGCCUGAAUAGGGUGAAGCCAGAGGAAACUCUGGUGGAGGCUCGUAGCGAUUCUGACGUGCAAAUCGAUCNUCAAAUUUGGGUAUAGGGGCGAAAGNNUAANCGAACCAUCUAGUAGCUGGUCC
rnacentral:rRNA from 1 species